rnacentral:rRNA from 1 species
UACAGAGGUCUCAAGCGUUGUUCGGAUUCAUUGGGCGUAAAGGGUGUGUAGGUGGCGCGCUAAGUCGGGUGUGAAAUUUCGGAGCUUAACUCCGAAACUGCAUUCGAUACUGGCGUGCUUGAGGACUGGAGAGGAGACUGGAAUUUACGGUGUAGCAGUGAAAUGCGUAGAUAUCGUAAGGAAUACCAGUGGCGAAGGCGGGUCUCUGGACAGUUCCUGACACUGAGACACGAAGGCCAGGGGAGCAAACGGG